GUUUUUCAAAAAAUCGCAAGCGACGCGAGAAACUUUUUCAAUUGGGUUGAGUAGAGAAAUAGCAUCAAUGUCGUUUUCAAUCUGUGUCGCAUUUUGAAGUAAUGUAUGAAAAUUAUUUGAAUUGGGUAAAUGUGUGUUUAUUGUGGGAAACUUUUUAAACGAAAUUCUAAAAAAAUCACGUACGCUGUUUACAGUCUUAUGACUGUUUUUUGACAUCUCCUGGUUUUCUUUUUCCUGGACUGUGCUUUCCAAAAGGCCUUCCAAAACGUUGUUUUGAGACAUGCAUCACAGUUGAAAAACGAGCGUCAAUGGUCAUCGUUUUAUUGACCUGAAUCGUAACAUCCAUGUCGUAUUGCAUAUUUCGUAAAGUACUCGUUUGUAUAUGACGCAUCCUGAUUUCAUAUUCAUAUUUUGCCUGCUUUGAAGCUUCUCUAUGCCUUUCGAGACUCUUCUCUAACGAAUAGAACUCUUGAAUUCGUUUUAAAAGCCUGGUAACAAGAACUUGAAAACACAGGAAAACUUUCAAUGGUUGAAGAUAGGCUACCUCGUCGCUAAAUUAAUACGAUCAAAGGGAUUUUGUCGACAUUUAUAUCGUAACACUUGAAAUUUCGUGGACAAUAGUUGAAUGGAUUCUUUGGUUUUAAGAAAAGUGUUAUGAAUCUACCAGACAUAAAAAGAGAGGGCAGCGAUGUUAGGAUUUAUUCAAAUACUUUACCUCUGAGUACUGCUUCAAUAUUGUUCUCAAUUCUGUAUCUAAAAGUGUGCAAUGUGCAACAAUCUACACAAAAACAUAAAGAAAAGCCUAGUGGCAUGAGUACUGACUUGUUGUAACGCGCGCCCAUUGUUACGCAAGGUCAUGUGCUUGUUCCGAUCUGUUCAAAUGAUACACAACACACUCAGAGUAGUAUUAUAAGGUCGUUGUACGCAGAAACUUGGAGUAAAAUAAAUGUUUCUAGUCAACAGUGGGAUAGGAGAAGGGAAGACGCCUACCGAUGUAACAUAUUUCGCGAUAAAACGACAACAGUAUCGAGCCAAUUUCUAAAGUACAAAAUGCAAUAGAAAAUACUGGUUGACAACAGAAUCUAAACAUCGCUUACUUAUUUUCCUUUUCCGCUAAAGCUGUGAAAUUUAAACAAAGAUUUUUCAAAGAACGACAAGAAGCUUCUUCAUGUUUAACAAUGUCUUUAAAAAAAUUUUCAAAAUGUUGAUUCAUUUUUAAACCAUUUUCCACACGGUGAACCGCUAGUGACCAUGCAAGCAUCCUAUAAAAAUCAAAUGAAAACCUUGUUUGUAAUAUCUUCCUCUACAUGCACGUCAGCGUUUUUUUUUUUUUGAUUCUCCAAUUUUGGCGGUUCUUGGAAUACGUCAUCGUGGAUUUGCAUUGUUUGUGCUAAGCCGUUUUUUUCUUCCAACAUUGGUACUAAUGUAUCAUUCUUGAGCAUGGGCAAGGU